rnacentral:tRNA from 1 species
UUUAGGGAGACCUACCCAUCUAAUCGAAUGAGCGCGUAAGCGAAUCAAGAUUAGAUAGGUCAACCCAAGGUCGUUGAGGAACUAAGUGUUGACUUCCAAGCUAUGUAAGAUUGGUUCGGGUUAUGGGCUAUUAGCUCAGGUGGUUAGAGCGCACCCCUGAUAAGGGUGAGGUCCCUGGUUCGAGUCCAGGAUGGCCCACCUUUAGAACGAUAAGGGGGUUUAGCUCAGUUGGUAGAGCGCCUGCUUUGCAAGCAGGAUGUCAACGGUUCGAGUCCGUUAACCUCCACUGAAAGCUGAGAGCUUUCUCCAAGAGAGACCCGAAUCGAAUUCAAUUUCAGCAACUUGUCUAAUCGUUAACUCCGGUGGUUGUUAAGGAUUUAGAAAGCCUGCUGGAGUUAAUCCAGUCAGAACCUUGAAAACUGCAUAGAAACUUGUCAGGUAGAAAGUAGUGGACUUUCAGAGAUUACUCACAAGGUAAUUUCGUGGAAGCCAUGACAGAUAUCACAGACACCAAUGUUGAUUGAUUUUAAGU